rnacentral:rRNA from 1 species
GUGUCAGCAGCCGCGGUAAUACCGGCGGCUCGAGUGGUGGCCACUAUUACUGGGCUUAAAGCGUUCGUAGCUGGUCUGUUAAGUCUCUGGGGAAAUCUACUGGCUUAACCAAUAGGCGUUUCAGGGAUACUGGCAGACUAGGGACCGGGAGAGGUGAGAGGUACUCCAGGGGUAGGAGUGAAAUCCUGUAAUCCUUGGGGGACCACCUGUGGCGAAGGCGUCUCACCAGAACGGCUCCGACAGUGAGGGACGAAAGCUGGGGGAGCAAACCGGAUUAGAUACCCGGGUAGUCCCAGCUGUAAACGAUGCGCGUUAGGUGUAUCGGUGACCACGAGUCAUCGAGGUGCCGAAGAGAAAUCGUGAAACGUGCCGCCUGGGAAGUACGGUCGCAAGGCUGAA